AUGAACGCUAGCGACAGGCUUAACACAUGCAAGUCGAGGGGCAGCACAGGUAGCAAUACCGGGUGGCGACCGGCGCACGGGUGAGUAACGCGUAUGCAACUUGCCUAUCAGAGGGGGAUAACCCGGCGAAAGUCGGACUAAUACCGCAUGAAGCAGGGAUCCCGCAUGGGAAUAUUUGCUAAAGAUUCAUCGCUGAUAGAUAGGCAUGCGUUCCAUUAGGCAGUUGGCGGGGUAACGGCCCACCAAACCGACGAUGGAUAGGGGUUCUGAGAGGAAGGUCCCCCACAUUGGUACUGAGACACGGACCAAACUCCUACGGGAGGCAGCAGUGAGGAAUAUUGGUCAAUGGCCGAGAGGCUGAACCAGCCAAGUCGCGUGAGGGAUGAAGGUUCUAUGGAUCGUAAACCUCUUUUAUAAGGGAAUAAAGUGCGGGACGUGUCCCGUUUUGUAUGUACCUUAUGAAUAAGGAUCGGCUAACUCCGUGCCAGCAGCCGCGGUAAUACGGAGGAUCCGAGCGUUAUCCGGAUUUAUUGGGUUUAAAGGGUGCGUAGGCGGCCUUUUAAGUCAGCGGUGAAAGUCUGUGGCUCAACCAUAGAAUUGCCGUUGAAACUGGGAGGCUUGAGUAUGUUUGAGGCAGGCGGAAUGCGUGGUGUAGCGGUGAAAUGCAUAGAUAUCACGCAGAACCCCGAUUGCGAAGGCAGCCUGCCAAGCCAUUACUGACGCUGAUGCACGAAAGCGUGGGGAUCAAACAGGAUUAGAUACCCUGGUAGUCCACGCAGUAAACGAUGAUCACUAGCUGUUUGCGAUACACUGUAAGCGGCACAGCGAAAGCGUUAAGUGAUCCACCUGGGGAGUACGCCGGCAACGGUGAAACUCAAAGGAAUUGACGGGGGCCCGCACAAGCGGAGGAACAUGUGGUUUAAUUCGAUGAUACGCGAGGAACCUUACCCGGGUUUGAACGCAUUCGGACCGAGGUGGAAACACCUUUUCUAGCAAUAGCCGUUUGCGAGGUGCUGCAUGGUUGUCGUCAGCUCGUGCCGUGAGGUGUCGGCUUAAGUGCCAUAACGAGCGCAACCCUUGCCACUAGUUACUAACAGGUAAAGCUGAGGACUCUGGUGGGACUGCCAGCGUAAGCUGCGAGGAAGGCGGGGAUGACGUCAAAUCAGCACGGCCCUUACAUCCGGGGCGACACACGUGUUACAAUGGCGUGGACAAAGGGAGGCCACCUGGCGACAGGGAGCGAAUCCCCAAACCACGUCUCAGUUCGGAUCGGAGUCUGCAACCCGACUCCGUGAAGCUGGAUUCGCUAGUAAUCGCGCAUCAGCCAUGGCGCGGUGAAUACGUUCCCGGGCCUUGUACACACCGCCCGUCAAGCCAUGGGAGCCGGGGGUACCUGAAGUCCGUAACCGCGAGGAUCGGCCUAGGGUAAAACUGGUGACUGGGGCU
rnacentral:rRNA from 1 species